GUGCUUGCUUGGCAGCAUGUAUAAUAGAAUUGGAACAACACAGGGAUUAACAGCACUCCUGCACAAGGAUGGCAUGCAAAUUCAUGAAGGAUUCCUUGUUUAA
rnacentral:snRNA from 1 species